rnacentral:rRNA from 1 species
GACGAACGCUGGCGGCGUGCUUAACACAUGCAAGUCGAACGGAAAGGCCCUGCUUUUGUGGGGUGCUCGAGUGGCGAACGGGUGAGUAACACGAGUGUAACCUGCCCUUGACUUUGGGAUAACUUCAGGAAACUGGGGCUAAUACCGGAUAGGAGCCCCUGUUGCAUGGUGGGGGUGGGAACGUUUCGGCGGUUGGGGAUGGACUCGCGGCUUAUCAGCUUGUUGGUGGGGUAGUGGCUUACCAAGGCUUUGACGGGUAGCCGGCCUGAGAGGGUGACCGGCCACCUUGGGACUGAGAUACGGCCCAGACGCCUACGGGAGGCAGCAGUGGCGAAUAUUGCACAAUGGGCGGAAGCGUGAUGCAGCAACGCCGCGUGCGGGAUGACGGCCUUCGGGUUGUGAACCGCUUUCGCCUGUGACGAAGCGUGUGUGACGGUAAUGGGUAAAGAAGCACCGGCUAACUACGUG